CGGAGUUAAAUACCCAACCAAACUAGCCCUCUUCUUCCUCGUUCAGCGCCCCCCAACCCCCCGCUCUCCCCGGCCCUUCAUAUCUUCUGAGCUGCUGUAUAUAAACCAAACCCAGUACGUAAUCUUCUUCUCUAGCGGAGUGUGGCUUCGGUUUCAUUCUCUUGGUGAUCAGUGUGUUGCCACGAUUGUAUUGGAGCUUUGGAAGAGGUUUGAUCCAUGGCGAGAGAGCAGCUGCAAGUGCUUAAUGCACUUGAUGUGGCGAAGACGCAAUGGUACCACUUCACGGCAAUUGUAAUCGCCGGCAUGGGCUUCUUCACCGACGCCUAUGAUCUGUUUUGCAUCUCGUUGGUCACCAAGCUGCUCGGCCGGAUUUAUUACCACGACAACGGGGACGCCAAGCCGGGGAAUCUGCCUCCCAAUGUCUCCGCCGCCGUCAACGGCGUCGCCCUCUGCGGCACCCUCGCCGGGCAGCUCUUCUUCGGUUGGCUCGGAGACAAAAUGGGCAGGAAGAGAGUCUAUGGUAUGACGCUUAUGCUCAUGGUCAUCGCCUCAAUUGCCUCUGGCUUGUCGUUUGGCCACAGUGCUAAAGGAGUCAUGACCACUCUCUGCUUCUUCCGCUUCUGGCUCGGCUUCGGCAUCGGCGGCGACUACCCUCUCUCCGCCACCAUCAUGUCGGAAUACGCCAACAAAAAGACCCGCGGCGCCUUCAUCGCUGCCGUGUUCGCCAUGCAAGGCUUCGGAAUUUUGACCGGCGGGGUUGUGGCCAUCAUAGUUUCUACUACUUUCAAGUCCAAAUUCCCUGCCCCUGCAUAUAAAGACAACCCUCUUGCCUCGACUGUUCCGGAAGCCGACUAUGUUUGGCGUAUAAUUCUAAUGUUCGGAGCCAUCCCGGCCGCGCUGACCUACUACUGGCGGAUGAAGAUGCCGGAAACUGCCAGGUACACCGCCCUAAUCGCCAAGAACGCCAAGCAGGCGGCUGCCGAUAUGUCCAAAGUGUUGCAGGUUGAGUUAGAAGCAGAGCCGGACAAAUUGGAUAAGCUUGCUCAGGAGCAGAAGAACAGCUUCGGAUUGUUCUCGAAGGAGUUUCUCCGCCGCCACGGGCUUCACUUGCUCGGCACCACCUCCACGUGGUUCCUCCUCGACAUCGCCUUCUACAGCCAGAACCUCUUCCAGAAGGACAUCUUCUCCGCGGUUGGGUGGAUUCCCAAAGCCGAAACAAUGAACGCCAUUGAAGAGGUUUUCAGAAUCGCGAGAGCUCAGACUCUCAUUGCCCUCUGCAGCACCGUGCCCGGCUACUGGUUCACCGUGGCGUUGAUCGACAGAAUUGGCAGAUUCGCCAUUCAGCUGAUGGGCUUCUUCUUCAUGACAGUGUUCAUGUUCGCCCUGGCCAUUCCCUACAAUCACUGGAAGCAUCCGGACAACCGGAUCGGCUUCGUCAUCAUGUACGCGCUCACCUUCUUCUUCGCGAAUUUCGGGCCGAACGCGACAACCUUCGUCGUCCCGGCCGAGAUUUUCCCGGCGAGGUUGAGAUCCACUUGCCAUGGAAUCUCUGCGGCGGCCGGAAAAGCUGGCGCAAUCAUCGGGGCGUUCGGGUUCUUAUAUGCUGCUCAGGACAAGAACCCGGCGAAGACUGAUAAAGGAUACCCACCUGGUAUUGGCGUGAAGAAUUCACUCAUCGUUCUCGGCGUAGUCAACUUCUUGGGCAUCAUGUUCACUUUCUUGGUGCCUGAAUCCAAAGGAAAAUCGCUGGAGGAAAUGUCUCAGGAAAACGAGGAAGAAGAAGGGUCUGGAGCUGGGCCUGACAUUAGAGCUCCUCCAGUUUGAUUAAUCAAAUCCUUUUCUUGGUAGGACAUCACCGGCAAUGGAGUAGGAGGUGGCGUUUGAUGGUGACGAUAAUAAUGGAAGAGGGUUGACAGCGUUGGGAGGCUUGUGGCGAUGACACGACCCACCAACACGAGGCUAUUUGUGGUGGCUUACCUAGAUGACGGCGACGGCGAUUAUGAAAGAGGGGCGACGAUAAUGGCUGAAGUGAAGGGAAGAUGAUAGGGGUACCAACUUUUGAGAGUAGGAUAGUCUUUUACUUAGUCAAUGCAACCAAACAGUUUGCACUUCCUUGUGGUCUGCCUGCACAGUAAUUGCGAAAAGCCAGCACUGGCAUUUGUUUCGUGGUGGCGAAACCGUACAUUUGGUAGCUUAAUGUUAAAAUGGAGGGGCCAUUGAAUUGGACAUUGUAAUUGAAUGUUUCUAGGGGCUGGAGCCCCAAUGUUUCCAAGUCCAGGAGGAUAUUUUCCGCUGCAUAUUGAUCAGAAGAUAAGGACCUCUCAAUUCACCUGGCCCUAACACCUCAAGUGGUUGAGAGAAAGGAUGAGAAAGAUUAAAUGAAUCAUAUACCUGCACGUGACGAUGCAACAAAUAUAAGAGUUGCUUAUGUUAUAUGUCGACGAAAAGUUACUUCGAUUGUCUUUCAUACUCCUCUUUUGUGUAAAGAGAAAAUAUUCAAUGCAAUGUGUAUAGUAUUUCAAUUCAUGUA